rfam:Cajanus cajan CcLG03_1199, whole genome shotgun sequence.
UGCUUUCCUCCUGGCAUGUUUUGUACUUGCUGCUUGACCUUAGAGGAAAUCGAGCAGCAAGGGACAUGAAUGCAGAACUGCCAACAG